UACGUAGGGUGCGAGCGUUGUCCGGAAUUACUGGGCGUAAAGAGCUCGUAGGCGGUUUGUCGCGUCGUCCGUGAAAACUUGGGGCUCAACCCCAAGCUUGCGGGCGAUACGGGCAGACUUGAGUACUGCAGGGGAGACUGGAAUUCCUGGUGUAGCGGUGAAAUGCGCAGAUAUCGGGAGGAACACCUGUGGCGAAGGCGGCCCCCUGGUUGGAUACUGACGCUGAUACGCGAAAGCGUGGGGAGCAAACAGG
rnacentral:rRNA from 1 species